GGAGGAUUAGCUCAGCUGGGAGAGCAUCUGCCUUACAAGCAGAGGGUGGCGGUUCGAGCCGCGCCAUCCUCCACCA
rnacentral:tRNA from 1 species